ensembl:lncRNA
GGGUCACACAGCACGUUUGAGCUGAGCCAGGGAGGCCGCUCCUAAUGCCAGACUGUGCCUUUCAGCAGCUCUGAAAUCCUCUCCUGCCCUAUGACACCACCUCUAUCCCAUAAAAACCCGAGGCCUAAUCCCUGUAGGUCAGCAGCAGCCUGACUCUACAAAGCCACCCUCCCCUCCAGUCGACAAGGCCCUGGGGUCAGGAGGUUAUCAGAAUGACCUCACGGAAGAGAGCUCCCAAGGGCGUCUCCACCUGCCUCUAAAGGGCUCCUCGGCCCCCUGCAGGUUUGGGAAGUUGACAGGUGAACUUUCCAGCAAGCUCAGUGCCAGCCCGUCGUCUUGGCAGCUCUGCUGAGAUGCAGGUGGCUUCUAGAACCCCUCGGGCCGCCUCCCUGAGGGUCGCCCCCUCACCCAUCUGCACAGCUUUGUCCCUGCCAUCCCAGAGACCCCCGGGACCCCCUGGAGGAAGCCCGACAGGGUGGUCAGUUCUGCUGUCCAUCGCCCCCGGCGCCCCUGUUUUAGAUUUGCCCAGCCUGUCUGCGCCCAGACGCCCCCCUUGGCCCGCCAGCCACUUGCUUCAAAGGUUAAUCCCCGGCUCUGUGGCUGCUCCCUGCGUGCCCCCUCCCCAUCCACGCUCUUUGCGCUCUGGUUAAUUAAAUGGGGCUGCCUAUUGUCAGAAGGCGAAGUUGGGUAUUUAUUACACCUUGGCGCUUCCAAAUGUCAGAGGUGCUCGGAGUUUGGAGACAUCCUGGCAGGGAAUGAGCCCGAGCACAUGUCUGCAGGGUCUGGGGCCGGUGGGCGGGCGGGCAGCUGCCACCUCAGGUGACCUGAGUUCUUCCAGAUUUAGCUGCAGCUGACUGCUUCCCACCCCCAGGCCUCUGACAGGCUGUGUUUACUGGGGGAGCCGGGAGAGCUGUCCUCUGGCCUAAACAUCCUGAGAUGUUCCAGCGAUUGGAGUUUCUGUCGUGGCGCGGCCGAAACGACUCCGACCAGGAACCAGGAGGAUGCGGGUUCGAUCCCUGGCCUCGCUCGGUGGGUGAAGGAUCCGGCGUUGCCGCGAGCUGUGGUGUAGGUCGCAGACGCGGCUCGGAUCCCGCGUGGCUGUGGCUGUGGUGUAGGGCGGCAGCUGUAGCUCGAUUGGACCCCUAGCCUGGGAACCUCCAUAUGCUGCAGGUGCGGCCCUAAAAAGCAAAAUAAAAAAUAAAAAAGAUGUUCCAGAGAUUAUGUUAUUGGAAGGAAUGAAAGAUGCGUUAAAAUAUAUACAGCUCCUCCUUGUACAUGUCCUGGGGGGAGGGGGGGUGCCUGGGGGGUAGCGGGGGUGCCCUGGGGAGCCCGUGCACGACCCAGGCGAGGGUGACAGGGUCUCCCUCUCCGUUUCUUCUCCCUUCUGAUGGGGCUUUGCCAUUUUAUUUUCCCGUUUUCACUUGGGCACUGCAAACGCAACAUGGCUAAUUGUGAGGGUUGGUUUUUUUUUUCCAUGGGGGUGGAGAAAUAUGGAUGUGUUCGUUUUAUGGGGUUCCCCCCCUUAAUAAUAAUGCUUUAAAAAUGUUUGACAUCUGUAACUAACAGCUGGCAUCCUGUUAUGGAAGAAUGUCCUUUUAUUUCAAAGCAGGUUGAACUGUCAUUAAUAGUAUAAUUAGGUGAUUAUCACUAUAUAGCAGAAAACUGCUUAAUUGCAGAGAUUGCUUUUCUAGGAUUCUAGUCUUUUUAUGGUUAUAUUUGUUUUAGCUGUUUGAAUUUUCAUGAUAUUUUGGCAUUUGGUAUGUUGCCUCGUUUUUUUGUGUCUGUGUGGGUUUUUUUUUUUUUUCCCCUUCCUGUUUUCUAAUGUGUCUGACAGCUGUCUUCAGGAUUAUUUGGGCCAGGGAUCGAACCUGCGUCCUCAUGGAUCCUAGUCGGGAACUCCAAGGCAUUUGCAUUUUUGCCUGCUGUCUGGAGCAAGCGUCCUGCCCCGUAGGUAGCGGAGAAAAUAACGCGGCGCCCGGCCUCCUGCCUCCAUCCUGGCCUCUGAGCACCUACCGCUGUGCCAUGUGGUUGCUGCAUUAGCUCAUUUAGUCCUGUUUCACGGAUGAGGAGGGGCAAAGCCAUCUGUCCAGGAUGUCACAGGGCCCAGAGGUCCCCCACCCUGGGAGCCAUACCUUCAGCAGGCAGCAGCCAGUGGUAGGCACGACCACUGAUUCGGAACCGAUUCCACUUUUGCCCGGAAGUUUCCCGGGGAAGUCGGGUCCGCCACAGCCCCCUGAGUCUGGCACUUUGGAAGUCUCAGCCCAACCUGCCAGGCUGGUCAGAAGCCCAGUGGCGGGCUCCUUUGCCUGGACCGGGAGCCCGGGGGUGGCGGCUGUGAAGGACAGCAGAUCCAAUGCUGUGUGGCUGCCUGGCAAGUCCCUUCCCCACUCUGAGCCUCUUUCUGAAUUGUCAGCCACCUGGUGUUGGGAAGCUGCUGGCCUUUGUUCUCCUGGAGCCCUUGAGGCUGGUGAAAGGCCCUGUGAUUCUUAAGAUAAGUGCAGGCUCCUCCCAGCCCCUCCUGCGGCGCCCGGCAGGCUGAGGCCAUUGGCAGGAGCCUGUCCCAGGAGGCCGCAGCGGCCCCAGAUCCUUCGAGCUGACACCUGCGGGGGUGGGUCGGACAGCUGCUCCCGCUCGGUUGCCCCUGGGUUUUAUGGCCAGAGGGUAAAUAACCCCUAAUCAGUCCCCCACCCCCAUCCCGCGAAGGCUGUUGAUAACAAUUGACAGCCUAGAUGCUGGGCUCCAUCGUACAUGGAGCCAGGGGUUGUGGGGUGGGGUGGGGAGUGGGGGUGCUUCUCCAGUCUCCUCGGCUCCCAGGUGACAGGCCAAAGGCACAGGUGACUUGGCCACUGGUGCCCAUUUUACAGCUUGGGCAGCUGAGGCUCCAAGAGCUUUCUCUCCGUGCCCACUGCGCAUGUGCCAGUGUGUUCUGCCACCUGGUCUGCACGGCAAGUAUGUGGCAGCCGUCGCUGUUUUUAUUUUGCUGUUGAGCAGAGCAGAGGCUUAAGGGGCUAACUCACCUGCCUGAGGUCCUACGACCAGGAAGUGGCGGACGGAUCCGGACCCUGGCUGAACCAUCACUUCAAUCCUAUUCGGAGGCUCCCUGCUCGAAACCUCCCUAGACUGAAAGCCCCGCCCCGCGUCCCCUCGCCACACCCAGUCCCGCCUUAAGCCCUUUGUACGCGUUUGCCCACUCUGCCUCCCCCUGCGUGUGCGCUUCGCCCACUUCACGUGCCUUUUGGGAGUAGUUUAUUGUCUGUGUCCCCCACUGGCCUGUCAGCGCUGCCAGGACACGGAGAGAGGUCUGGUUGGUCCUCGUUCAUGGUUGCAAGCUGGGCUAACACAGUGCCUGGCACACAGCAGGUGCUCAGUAGUGCCAACGCGGUAGAAGCUCCGCCACGCUGCAGGUCGUAGCCGGUUGGCGGCUUGGGAGGUACGGUUCUUUCUGCGCUAAGCGGAGAAGUUUCGGUGUGAGAAAGGGCUCCCGCCCCCGCGGAAGGGACUUGGAGCCUCCUGGGCUGGAGGGGGCGGGGCUUCGGGCCAAGCGGCCCCUCCCCUGGGGCGGGGCUUAGAGAGCCAGGGCCCUUCCCUGGGCCGAGCUCCCGCCUUGGUGGCAGAAUGGGGUUCUGCGAGUCUAACUCUCCCGCUUCUUUUGAAAUUCUGGCCGGGGCGGGCUGGGAGAGGGGGGUCAGCCACGGACACAGCGGCGCUUUGUAUCCCUGGAAUCUUUCUGAAGCCAACUUGUUGGGGAGGGCGCUUUGUAUUGUAAAUUUCCACAGAGUAAUUUGUCUUAAUGUAUGAUAAUCCGGCCUGGCCCCGUUGCCCGGCAGCCUGUGUCAGCUGUGCGCCUGGGCCGGCUGUGGGCAGGACGGCCGGGGUCAAAGAGACAUGUCCUGGAGAUCUGGGGACAGCGGAGUCUGCCUGGGACCUGCUGCAUCGUUCCCGAAGGACGUGGGGCUGGGGUUGGGGGACUUCCCCAGGGCUAAGCGUGGGAGCCCCGCUAAGGGCUGGUUUCCUGGCGGCCUCCCGCCCUCAUCCAGGAGCAGAGUUCCCAAGGAACCCAUCUCUGAAAGUCGCAGAAAUGCCAAGUCUUAGGUCAGAAUCGGUCCUGAAAGAUCAUCCAUGUCUGGCUUGAAUACCGACAUGCAUGGGGAACUCAUUCCAUGCAGUCAGCAAACAUUGAUUGAGCAUUUGCGGUACACUGGGCACUGGGGAUUCAGGACUAAAGUAAGCAGGUGCUAAUUCCUGACUUCCUGGAACUGACCCAGUACUUGGCGGGGAGGUUGGGGGGGCGUUUAGACAGCAGACAAGGUCGGUAAGAUACACAGGGGGUUACAGAGGAAAGACAGCCAGGGGAAGGCCAGUGCAGGGCGAUGCAUGGGGAGGGAGGUUUUUUGGUUUUUUUUUUUUGUUUGCGUGUUUGUUUUGCUCUUUUUAGGGCCGCACUCACGGCACAUGGAGGUUCCCCUGCUAGGGGUCCAAUUGGAGCUACAACUGCUG